GGAUAACGUUUGGAAACGAACGCUAAUACCGCAUGAUAUUAUUGGGCAGCAUUGCCUGAUAAUCAAAGGAGCAAUCCGCUGAAAGAUGGGCUCGCGUCCGAUUAGGUAGUUGGCGGGGUAACGGCCCACCAAGCCGACGAUCGGUAGCCGGACUGAGAGGUUGAACGGCCACAUUGGGACUGAGACACGGCCCAGACUCCUACGGGAGGCAGCAGUGAGGGAUAUUGGUCAAUGGGGGAAACCCUGAACCAGCAACGCCGCGUGAGGGAAGACGGUUUUCGGAUUGUAAACCUCUGUCCUCUGUGAAGAUGAUGACGGUAGCAGAGGAGGAAGCUCCGGCUAACUACGUGCCAGCAGCCGCGGUAAUACGUAGGGAGCAAGCGUUGUCCGGAUUUACUGGGUGUAAAGGGUGCGUAGGCGGCUUUGCAAGUCAGAAGUGAAAUCUAUGGGCUUAACCCAUAAACUGCUUUUGAAACUGCAGGGCUUGAGUGAAGUAGAGGUAGGCGGAAUUCCCGGUGUGGCGGUGAAAUGCGUAGAGAUCGGGAGGAACACCAGUGGCGAAGGCGGCCUACUGGGCUUUAACUGACGCUGAGGCACGAAAGCGUGGGUAGCAAACAGGAUUAGAUACCCUGGUAGUCCACGCUGUAAACGAUGAUUACUAGGUGUGGGUGGACUGACCCCAUCCGUGCCGGAG
rnacentral:rRNA from 1 species